CAGCGACAUAAACAAUCCUUCGGGUGCGUUUAUGGGCGGCGAGCGGCGGACGGGUGAGUAAUGCCUGGGAAUAUGCCCUGAUGUGGGGGAUAACCAUUGGAAACGAUGGCUAAUACCGCAUAAUCUCUUCGGAGCAAAGAGGGGGACCUUCGGGCCUCUCGCGUCAGGAUUAGCCCAGGUGAGAUUAGCUAGUUGGUGAGGUAAGAGCUCACCAAGGCGACGAUCUCUAGCUGGUCUGAGAGGAUGAUCAGCCACACUGGAACUGAGACACGGUCCAGACUCCUACGGGAGGCAGCAGUGGGGAAUAUUGCACAAUGGGGGAAACCCUGAUGCAGCCAUGCCGCGUGUGUGAAGAAGGCCUUCGGGUUGUAAAGCACUUUCAGUUGUGAGGAAGGCAUAUACGUUAAUAGCGUAUGUGUUUGACGUUAGCAACAGAAGAAGCA
rnacentral:rRNA from 1 species